rnacentral:rRNA from 1 species
CGCUGGCGGCGUGCCUAAUACAUGCAAGUCGAACGGCUUUUCUAUGGAAGCUUGCUUCCACUGAGAAGAUAGUGGCGAAACGGGUGAGUAACACGUGGGUAACCUGCCCAUAAGAGGGGGAUAACAUCCGGAAACGGGUGCUAAUACCGCAUAGUUUUCUUGAUUGCAUGAUUGAGAAGGAAAGACGGCCUUUGUGCUGUCGCUUAUGGAUGGACCCGCGGCGUAUUAGUUAGUUGGUGAGGUAACGGCUCACCAAGACGAUGAUACGUAGCCGACCUGAGAGGGUGAUCGGCCACAUUGGGACUGAGACACGGCCCAAACUCCUACGGGAGGCAGCAGUAGGGAAUCUUCCGCAAUGGACGAAAGUCUGACGGAGCAACGCCGCGUGAGUGAAGAAAGGUUUUCGGAUCGUAAAACUCUGUUGUCAGAGAAGAACAAGUUGGAGAGUAACUGCUCCAGCCUUGACGGUAUCUGACCAGAAAGCCACGGCUAACUACGUGCCAGCAGCCGC